UGAGAGAACACAGUGGGAAGAAAGUUCCUCACUUCAUUGUGGUCAGGAACAGAGGAGAAGAAUGGUCAGGUUUGCCAGAUACUCUUCAAGGGCACGCCCACCGUGUUCUAAUGCCUCCAACUAGGCUCUACCUCAUCAAAGUUGCACCACCUCCCGAUAGUGACCAACCUAUGCUGAGAUAUCAAGCCUGAAAAUCAUUCUUAAUUUGUUUCAUGGAGUAUAACUUCUUGGAACUCUGCCUCACCACAAGAGCAUCAUGACCUUUUUCAGGCAUCUUCUACUCCUACACCAUGGUACCAGAUCUAUGAUUAGCAUGCCAAGGGCUAGUGUAUCAUCCUACAGAACACUCUGGAAGAAACAGGACACUAGACAUAGAAGAAGUGAACUAAAAAAGAAAAAUUACGUUGGAAAGGCAUUGCAUUAAAUUUGGAGACUAUAGAGCGAUGAACAAGAUAGACAAGACUCUGAGCUCAUGAAACAUAUUAUCUAGAAAGGCUUUCAGAAGAAUAAUAUUGCUCCAGACUGGAAAAAUAACAGAUGUCUGCUUCACCUACCAAUUAUUACAUCCCCAAGUUCUCUUAAUAGUCAGUGCUUCAGAUUUCUUUUUUCUGCUCUCUCUGAGAAACAGUCACCUUCACCACCAUAUCUCUUUCUUUUUGUAAAAGAUUUCCUUUUCGUGCUUUUGUUAAAUAAGUAUGACUGUUUGUAUGUGUGUGUAUAUGUGCUGUAUGUGUACAUUUUAUUAUAUAUAAAUUCUUUUUGAUAUUUUAAAAUCUGGUACAUCACUUCUCUGUCUAAGGAUUUGGGAGACAUGUCAUCUUGAUUAGCCUUGGGGACUUGACUAGCUUGAUGGAAAUUUAGGUCAUCAAUCAACAGAUGAGUGGAUAAAGAAAAUGUAGCAUCUAUACCCAACAGAAUAUGAUUCAGUCAUAAGAAUGGAAUCCUGACAUUUGAGCCAACAUAUAUGAGCCUGAAAGGCAUUAUGUUAAGUGAAAUAAGUCAGGUACAAAGCAACAAAU
rnacentral:lncRNA from 1 species